CAGCCGCCGCGGUAAUACGAGGGGGGCAAGCGUUGUUCGGAAUUAUUGGGCGUAAAGGGUGCGUAGGCGGUUUGGCAAGUUUGGUGUGAAAUCUUCGGGCUCAACUCGAAGUCUGCAUCGAAAACUGCCGGGCUUGAGUAUGGGAGAGGUAAGUGGAAUUUCCGGUGUAGCGGUGAAAUGCGUAGAUAUCGGAAGGAACACCUGUGGCGAAAGCGGCUCACUGGACCAUAACUGACGCUGAUGCACGAAAGCUAGAAGAGCAAACAGGAUUAGAUACCCCUGUAGUCCCUGUCUCUUAUAA
rnacentral:rRNA from 1 species